UCAUUUCUUUUCAUUCUUUUUCUUUAUUCUGUUCCAUGGCAGUGAAUUCCACCAUUCUGUCUUCCAGGUCACUUAUGUGUUCUUCUGCCUCAGUUAUUCUGCUAUUGAUUCCUUCUAGUGUAUUUUUCAUUUCAAUUAUUUUAUUGUUCAUUUCUGUUUGUUUGUUAUUUAAUUCUUCUAGGUGUUUGUUCUUAAUUCUUCUAUUGUCUUUGUUAAACAUUCUUGCACCUUCUCGAGCUUUGCCUCCAACCUUUUUCCAAGGUCCUGGAUCAUCUUCACUAUGAUUAUUCUAAUUCUUUUUCUGGAAGUUUGCCUAUCUCCACUUCAUUUAGUUGUUUUUCUGGGGUUUUAUCUUGUUCCUUCAUCUGGUACAAAGUCCUCUGCCUUUUCAUUUUGUGUAUAUUUCUGUGAAUGUGGUUUCCUUCCACAGGCUGCAGGAUUGUAGUUCUUCUUACUUCUGCUGUCUGCCCUCUGUCUAUCUAAGAGGCUUGUGCAAGUUUCCUGAUGGGAGGGACUGUUGGUGGGUAGGGCUGGCUGUUGCUGUGGUGAGCAGUGCUCAGUAAAACUUUAAUCUGCUUGUCUGCUGAUGGGUGAGGCUGGGUUCCCUCCCUGUUGGUUUUUUGGCCUGAGGCGACCCAACACUGGGGCCUACCCGGCUCUUUGGUGGGGCUAAUGGCGGACUCUGGGAGUGCUCACGCCAAAGAGUACUUCCCAGAACUUCCACUGCCAGUGUCCUUGUCCCCACAGUGAACUACAGCCACCGCCUGCCUCUGCAGGAGACCCUCUAAUACUAGCAGUUCCAAGACUGAGCUUGGGACAUCAUUAGCACAGGAUUAUUACUCUUGGCUAGUCUUGGCCAGAGUCUGCAAGGAGGCUGCCCCAAAGAAGAAGAGAGAUUGGAGAAGGGGUGAGUAAAAUGUGAGAGAGGAGCGGAGAGAACUGUUACAAAAAGGAAGCAGAAUUUGAUUUGGGAAAUUCUCAGCCUGCACAGAUUGCAAACAAUGCUGAAGUUAAGAGAUCCACUGCCAAGAAAGCAUGCUCUGGAGAUGGCUUGACUAUGUCUGCUUGAUGACCAAAGAAACUAGCUGAUCUGCUAAACUGCUGGCUGAUACAGAGACUUUCUUGAAGUGGGAGCCUUUACCGAGGCAGCGCGCAGACCCAGCAGCCUGAGUGGCACAGCCAGGCUCCUUCCCUGGAAAUACACUCAGCAUCUCAGCAUCUAGCCCCCAUAGCUUGGAACUGUGUCUGUGAGCAUCUGUGCUGCAUCUGGGUUUAUUUUGUGCAUUCGUCAGCAAGUGUCCUAAAGUAUCAGAAAAGGUUAACAUAAAAACCAGAUGUAAUUUUAAGUGUUUCGAUUGGGGUGAACGAACUGGGCAUUGUGUGUGAGUUGAACUUGUUUGGGUCCACUAUUUCCAGGCAGAGAGAAAGAAUCUUGAAAGCUGCCAAAGUUACUAUUGCUUCUGUUAGUAGCAAAGUGGUCUCAGUUGGCAUCCAGCAGUGGGUAAACUGGAAAGUCUAUUGCUUGAGCAGACUGAUGGGUGUACAAAGCGAGGUGUUUACGUUAUCUUAUACUUAAGGAGAAAUCGGUCAGUCUUUCUAAUAAGCUGAAACAGAAAGCACUUGGACCACGGUGUUGAAAGUGUUGCAACAGUAGAAUUUGAAGGUAGUCAUGGAUGGUUUGAUUGGUGAGGGCAGGUUCUUACCUUAAAAGUUACUGGAGAGAGUGCUUCCGCUGUUACUGAAGCUGCCAAAAAGUUCCCGGAACUGAAGAAAAUAAUUACAGGAGGUGGUUAUUCGUAUAAGUGUUUGACCCUGAAGAUGAUGUUGAAGAGGUUUUGGCAUCCCAUGACUAAGAACUGACAGAUGAAGAGCUGAUGCCAUUGCAAGAGGAAAGGAUACUAUUCAAAUACUAGUUGAAACGGAACACAGUAGUGAACAGCCUAAAAGUAAAGCCCUCCAGGAACUCAACAUGAAGCACUUGCAUGAGAUUUUCACUGUAAUUGACAGUGCUGCAAUGAUAGCAGAGAAGGUAUGACUUUAAUUUUGAAAGGGCAUGUAGGUUUAGGGCAAGUUUGCAGGAUGUUCUGAGUGCCUACAAACAACUGCAUGAUAGAAAAAUGCAUGAGGAUAAGCAGUCAAGCAUACUGUCAUAUUUCAAGCCUUCCACAUCAGCCACAGCCGACGAUGAACCUCAACAUUUGACGCUGAGGCAGGCAGUUAUAGAAGAAGGUGAAGACAUUAGUGACCUGCUUGCCCUGACGGAUUCAAACAAUGGUGAGAUGUUAAUAGGUGACCCCCUUCCUCUGUCUCCUACAUCCCCAUCUCCACACGCCCCCACCACAGCCUCCCACAUCUAAGCCUAACACACCAUCAUCACCACCUCUCAGCCUUCCAGUGUGCUGCUGGCUGUCCUCUCGAUUCUGCUGUCAUAUAUUCCGUUUUGUGGAUAUACUCAGAUUUGUAGCCAGUCUCCUAUAGAUGGACACUUGUGUUGUUUCCAACCUUUGGAUAUUAGGAACAAUGCUUUAAUGAAUAAAUGUCAUUUCUUACAUUUGCAGGGGUAACUCUUAGAUUCUCUGAAGAGAAUUGACGGUUUAAAGAGGAAAUGUUUUUGUAAGUGUGAUAAAUAUUGACAGUUGGCCUUUAAAGAGUGGUCCAUUCUGCACUCCCAUCAGCAGCGUAUGAAAGGUAUUGCUUAUUUUUAGGUGGAUUAGGAGGAAUUAGAAAGUGAUUGGGGGGAUGUUUUUUGAUAGACCAGAAAAUUUCUAAGUAAAAUCCUGAACAGUUUGAGAAUAGGAGUUAGAAUGAUAACAUAUAUGUCAAAAAGAAAUUGCUGUGUGAUGGGAAGGGUCAGUGUUGAAUUCAGACCAGUGCUGUUGUUGUUUUUAACUGAACUGUGCCUUUGAUACAUGUUUCUUGGUAGAUUCAAGGAUGUAGAGAAGAAUCAAAAGAAUCUUAUGUGAUAUUUUAAAAUCUAUGCUGCCUUGCUCCAUGACAGCAGUAACUCAAAAACAGGAGACAUGGGUGAAUGAUUACUCAAGUCUAUUCUCAACAAUUUAUUCUUCUGGAUAGAUGAUUAAGAGUCAUUAAAGAGUGAAGAUUUUAGUUUAAUGAACAAUUAUUCAUGUUACCGAGUCUUAGGUUAGUGCUAGAAGUAAAGUCUUUUAUCAGUGUAGCUUGUGAAGGAUUUGUUUUGUAUUUCUGGUUGUCAAUAAAACAUUUUUUCAAGAGGCAUUUGUUUAUGCCUUAAAUAUGC